ACUCCUACGGGAGGCAGCAGUGGGGAAUAUUGUACAAUGGGCGCAAGCCUGAUGCAGCAACGCCGCGUGAGGGAUGACGGCCUUCGGUUGUAAACCUCUUUAGCGAGGAAGAAGACGAAAGUGACGGUACCUGCAAGAAAAGACACCGGCUAACUACGUGCCAGCAGCCGCGGUAAGUACGUAGGUGCAAGCGUUGUCCGGAAUUAGUUGGGACGUAAAGAGCUCGUAGGCGGUUUGUCACGUCUGCUGUGAAAAUCCAAGGCUCAACCUUGGACUUGCAGUGGUACGGGGCAGGCUAGAGUGCGGUAGGGGAGGAUGGGAAUUCCUGGUGUAGCGGUGGAAUGCGCAGAUAUCGAGGAGGAAACCACCAAGUGGCGAAGGCACAUCUC
rnacentral:rRNA from 1 species